AUAACUUUUAGCCUAGCUUUAAGGUCAAAAGAACGUAUGUUCAACUUUUUUGUUGAUUGUUGUCCUCCAAUGUGCAGCUCAUACUGUGGUGUUCUUAUGCUGGCGUGUGUUAAGUUCUUUGCCAGAAUAUUCACCACGAGGUUUAGUGUGGUAAGUGGUGUAUAUAAUUAAGGGUGUUCAAAAGAACCCGACCCAGUUGUCCCGUCCCGAUUAUCCGAUGACCCGCAAAAACCCUGAUGGGCAGGGUCGGGUACCCGUCCCGCUAAAAUAGCAAUUUCGUGGGCCAGGACAUGGGACAAGCUUUGCUACUUUCGGGUACCCGGAUACUCGUUAAAAAAAAAAAUCGUAUGAAACUACCGGAUUUAAGGCCCAACCCACUUAGACAAAUAGACAGUUAGACCUAGGGUUCCAAUAUUCCCCAAAAAAAACAAAAAAAACACUGUCAGACACUACUCAGACCUCAGAAUUCUUCUUCUCUUUCUCUUGCGCCUCAAUCUCGAUAUCUCCUCCCUUAAAAAUUCAAUCAAUUCCGUCAAAAAAUCAAUAAAAUUCGACUCGAUUCAUUCUCAAACUUCAUCAGAUCUAAAUCAUUUCGUGGUCCCGCUCAUUUUCAUUAGUUCACUCAAUCUUCUCACCACCUUAGGAAUGAAAGACUUGGUUUUGGAGCAACCGACGAUUGUUAUUGAUGAGGCAAUGGAAAUAUAGGAUCUCACAAGUGAUUGAAUGUUAUGUAACAUAGGUUGUUAAUUGUUGACUUAAAUUUAAACAUUGGUGUCUUUUGGUCUUCUGGACUAGACAUGUGUAUUCAGACAUGUUCUGCCGUCCACAUUGGUGUUUACAAGUUGUAUUGUUUAGUGUUUACAGUAGGUACUUACUUUGCAGGA